CGGGCUUGAUAUCUAACAAACCCUUUAGAGAUAAAGGGGUGCUUGCUUGCAAGAAUGUUAAGACAGGUGCUGCACGGCUGUCGUCAGCUCGUGUCGUGAGAUGUUGGGUUAAGUCCCGCAACGAGCGCAACCCACGUAUUUAGUUGCUAACAGUUAGGCUGAGCACUCUAAAUAGACUGCCUUCGUAAGGAGGAGGAAGGUGUGGACGACGUCAAGUCAUCAUGGCCCUUAUGCCCGGGGCGACACACGUGCUACAAUGGCAUAUACAAUGAGAAGCAAUAUCGUAAGAUGGAGCAAAUCUAUAAAAUAUGCCCCAGUUCGGAUUGGAGUCUGCAACUCGACUCCAUGAAGCCGGAAUCGCUAGUAAUCGUAGAUCAGCCAUGCUACGGUGAAUACGUUCCCGGGUC
rnacentral:rRNA from 1 species